rnacentral:misc_RNA from 1 species
AAAGUCGUAACAAGGUUUCCGUAGGUGAACCUGCGGAAGGAUCAUUAAAAAGUUAAGGGCCCCGGGGGGCCGUCUAAUAAAAACCCGUAAGCCAGAAGGCAUGCCCCAGCGGUUGCCGGAACGGUGAACCCUCUGUGAAAACCCUUGUUGCUUCGGCAGCGCCUCCCUUCGAGCCUUCGCGGGUUCAACGGGAGGGUCAGCCUGCCGGCGGCACAACAAUCAAAACCCUUUUUAUGCAAAAGUAGUAUUUUGAAAACGUCUGAGAGCGCAGUCGAAUGACACUUAAAACUUUCAACAACGGAUCUCUUGGUUCCC